rnacentral:sRNA from 1 species
CAUGCCCCUUAUACGCUGGGCUACACACGUGCUACAAUGGGUAGUACAGAGAGUCGCAAAGCCGCGAGGUGGAGCUAAUCUCAGAAAACUAUUCUUAGUUCGGAUUGUACUCUGCAAUUCGAGUACAUGAAGUUGGAAUCGCUAGUAAUCGCGAAUCAGCAAUGUCGCGGUGAAUACGUUCUCGGGUCUUGUACACACCGCCCGUCACACCACGAGAGUUGGUUGCACCUGAAGUAGCAGGCCUAACCGUAAGGAGGGAUGCUCCGAGGGUGUGAUUAGCGAUUGGGGUGAAGUCGUAACAAGGUAUCCGUACGGGAACGUGCGGAUGGAUCACCUCCUUUCUAAGGAGAAUGUGUCUUUCUCUAUUCUAUUGGUAAUGUUCUUACAUUACUUCUGAACAUUGGAAACUAUAUAGUAGAACAAACAAGAAAAAAAUUAACUCUAACAAUUUCUUAGAGUUAGCUGUCAAAAAAAAUAGGUUAAAAUAAUUAAGGGCACACAAAGGAUGCCUUGGUAGUAAGAGCCGAUGAAGGACGUGGUAAGCUGCGAUAAGCCUAG